rnacentral:rRNA from 1 species
CUUUACAAUGCGGGCAACCGUGAUAAGGGAACCUCGAGUGCCUGUACAUGCAGGCUGUUCAGGUGUCUAAAACACACCUGAAGAAAGGGCCGGGCAAGACCGGUGCCAGCCGCCGCGGUAAUACCGGCGGCUCGAGUGGUGGCCACUUUUAUUGGGCUUAAAGCGUUCGUAGCUGGGUUGUUAAGUCUCUUGGGAAAUCUGGCGGCUUAACCGCAGGCGUCUAAGGGAUACUGGCAAUCUUGUAAUCCUUGAAGGACCACCAGUGGCGAAGGCGUCUCGACCAGAACGGACCUGACGGCAAGGGACGAAAGCU